CCUGCGCGCCUCGCGCUGCCGGAAAGGGCGGCCCCGCCGGCGCCCUCAGCCCCGCGGGCGGGACGCGGCACCCGGUGCGCGGGAGGGAAAGCGGUGAAGUGAAACCCUCCCGAGCUGGAAGGCAGCAGUAAGUUCUCGUAAACAGAGGAGAGGGCGGAAAUAAGAGUUGCUUUCCGGCUGCCAGACGCUCCAUGUAAAAGGAAGUGCUCGUAGGAUGCAGGACAUGUGGAAGUAUCAUGAAUGUUUGAGCAGAAAAAAACCCAUUACCUUAGGUCUCUUUUAAUCGCUGCUCUUCUUGUGGAUCAAAUUCAUGUUGGAUUGCUCUUGACAAUGACAUGUCCUUUGAAAAAUCUCUUCGUUUGAACAGCUGUUUGACUGACAGGGUCAUGAACCUGCCCGACCUCCUGAGAGUAACAAAGAAGAUGAAAGACGAACUGUAAGAAGCAAACCCACCAUAUGGCCUGACUGGAGAAGAGAUCAAGGUGCAGUCAAGUGGUGAGUUGUCACAUUCUGCCCGGGGACUCUGACAUGUCUGCAUCCAUCACAUUUGCCAGGUCAUGUGAUAAAAGUUCAUCUGCACACUCAGUGAAGAGCACAGAGAGACCACUCUCGUCAGCUAUACAGUUGGAAAGCCUGGCUGAAAAUCUAAUGAGAGGUGUCUUUUGCAGUCAGAUGUACUUCAUAAGGUAGCAUGCCAUUACGGUCAACACACUGAGAGAAGCAACAUUAAGCUGGGUUACUGAACUAAUGAAACAUCCCAAAGAGUACACCAGCACCAUGAUAAAAAUUGUAUUUUAGUAUCAAAAAUCAAGAAGCUAAGGGUUUUUUAUUACAGUGAUCAAAUUCAUUUGACCAUGUUACUGUUUUCUAAAAGAGAAAAGAAGUGGUAUUUUGCUCUAGUAAGUCAAUAGAUCAGCCUCAAGAUCUUUUUCAGUUCAUUAAUCAAGUGAACUCAAUCCAUUCAUUUGGAACAAAUCCGUCUCAGCUGAUGCUCAUAAGUCUACCUAAUGAAUAAGCCUUUGGAGCUGCUUGGAUGUGGCUGCCCUUGCACAUACCUGCUUGGAACAAGGAAUGUGUUUAUGCCUGCUGUGCAGCUACUCUCCAGCUGACCAGCUCCUCAGACCCCCACUUGUUGAUGGUAGCUCCUGUCAGCUGCCUUUGGUCCUUGUUCCCUGAUGAGAAGCAGCUCUCCAUUUCCAGCUUGACCUUGCACCAGCCUUCCUCAACAGGGAAGACCAGGCUACUGAAGCUCUCAUCCAUUACCCCUCUGCCAGCUGUGGCACUUGGAUUGGUUUGGGGGAUGGUAUAAGCCUUCUCAGAGUGCAGCUGGCAACAUACACUGGCUUCCACCAAGAAGGAGACGUUCAGCCUCAGCCACAGCAUAAACUCUUUACUGUGGUACUGUUCUUAAACCUUCUCAAUACAUACACAAAAUCUUCAGUUAAAAUAUCAAUAGGAGGUCUGAACUGAUCCAUAAGAUAUAUUGAACUAGAAAAGAGCAGAGAGACCCCUAAAGGAGAGAUCCUUUGGAAGGCUGUAGCACUAGGAUUAAGUCUCUGGGCAGCAGCUCACUUCCUUAAAAAAAUUUUUAGAAAUAAAACUUUAAAAAAGUACAUACAGCUCAUAUUACUGAGUAUGGAAAGGAGCAUAACAGUACUGGAAACACGAUGGCCUUACCCAAUUCUGAUCCACUUGGUGGCUGGAUCUGAAGCAUAAUGGCCUGCUUGAUUUUGGAGCUUUUAUGAUGGGAAAAGUCCUUAAGUCUUCUCUCUCUCUGAAUGGGGAACCUGUCUAAGAAGUGAAUCUUCUGGAAACUCAGCACGACAGAAUCCAAGACAUAAUAUUUAUGUUUUGUUUUUCUGGAGCUCUUCAUCCUGUACUGAGGAAGCUGGUAAAUUAAUCUUACUGUUGUCUUUAAAGGGAAAAUUUUCCUCCAGUUCUGUCGUUAAACUGCCAAGAGAUCAAGCAUAAAGGCAAUGAUAGCCCAGAAAUACCUUGAGGUCCUUUACAUGAACUAUAUUGUAUUGUUCUGCUCCGGGGUAUUCAUGUAGUGGCUGAAUAGAUUUUAUUUAUAGACACAAUUUGCUGUGGACAGUGAAACUCACUUGUUCCUAAUUUUCUGCAGGCCUUAUCAUUCUCCACAUAAAACCAAAACCUUCCAUAAUUCUAUCUCAAAGAGUAAUGCUUUUUCUGUUGUUUUGUUGUUGUUUGCUUGUUUUGGUUUUUUGUUUGGUUUUGUUUUUGCAACUACAGGAUUCUGGGCUUAUUAUCUCAUCUAGAAGACAAUGAUUCUUUGAGCAUAUAUAUCUACCUAGCAAAUAGUUAUUGUACCCUGUCCCCUCCCUCACUUUAGCUUUAGAAGUUGUUGCGAACUUCUAUGGAGAGAAGAGAGGCAGCUAUCAUGCCCAAAUAAUAAGGAAACAUUUCCUAUGAGACAGGUUUAAUUUAAAAGCUGUUGGGUUAUUGGGAUAAGCUACAUCAAACAAAAGAAAUUAUUAUGUCAAAAUAAUAAAAAGUAAUAAAAAUAAUAGAAGUAUUCUGGUUCCACGGGUACUUUUGCAUGAGGUCUUCACUUUGGAUGUUUGUAUAUCAUGUGACUAAAUGUGUGAACAAUUUCUACAGACAAAUUCCCUAUGUCUAUAUGCAGCUGAUAUUUCUAGUACCUUCUGAGACAAAUGUCCAAAGCCUGUUCAGGUAGAAUAACUUUAUGAAAGGAAGAAGCUUCAGGAUGUUUCUGCCAUUUGUUUUCUGACAUCAUCCGCAAACAUUUGGAGCUGUCAGACUUGGAUGCUCUUAUUGGAUCAUCUGUUCUUAGGUCUUAACCACCUGCUUCUUGCUGAACACCAGCUCACAACAAGGAGUUCAGUCUGGUCACAGGAGUAUCCUCACCUCACAUCUACAGUGUUCAGUAUUGACAAAUUGCUCUGGAGCAAGACUUGCAGGGUCUUGUAGAACAACGUGGAAAACUUUUUGAUCUGUACACUUGCUGAGAAGCUUUUCCAAUUAAAAGAUUUUUAUUACUUUGUUAAAUCUUCCAGGUAAGGAGUCUACUUGUAAUUUGAGAAUGAUUCACCAGACUGAGCUUGAACAUUGUAGCGGUCCAGGAGCCUGCAGCAUUUGAAAUGUAGGGAAUGCACAGACAUAAAAAAUGGUGGUAAUUCUCUAACAUUGGAGCAAAUCCUUUCCAUCCCUUGUCAUGGUACAUUUUUUAUGCUUAGGAUGAGGGGUACAAUAAUAGUGGGCUUCUGUUUCCCUUUGCCUUUGGGAAAACUAGUCAUCUGUGGUGAUUCUCUAUUCUAGCAAUAAAAAACUAACCUGUUGUUGUUUUCUGCA